GGGUGAGUAACACGUGGGUAACCUGCCUGUAAGACUGGGAUAACUCCGGGAAACCGGGGCUAAUACCGGAUGCUUGUUUGAACCGCAUGGUUCAAACAUAAAAGGUGGCUUCGGCUACCACUUACAGAUGGACCCGCGGCGCAUUAGCUAGUUGGUGAGGUAACGGCUCACCAAGGCAACGAUGCGUAGCCGACCUGAGAGGGUGAUCGGCCACACUGGGACUGAGACACGGCCCAGACUCCUACGGGAGGCAGCAGUAGGGAAUCUUCCGCAAUGGACGAAAGUCUGACGGAGCAACGCCGCGUGAGUGAUGAAGGUUUUCGGAUCGUAAAGCUCUGUUGUUAGGGAAGAACAAGUACCGUUCGAAUAGGGCGGUACCUUGACGGUACCUAACCAGAAAGCCACGGCUAACUACGUGCCAGCAGCCGCGGUAAUACGUAGGUGGCAAGCGUUGUCCGGAAUUAUUGGGCGUAAAGGGCUCGCAGGCGGUUUCUUAAGUCUGAUGUGAAAGCCCCCGGCUCAACCGGGGAGGGUC
rnacentral:rRNA from 1 species